AUAGUUUGAAGAUAGACAUGACCC
rnacentral:piRNA from 1 species